UGUAGUCUCUAAGAUGGCUAAA
rnacentral:siRNA from 1 species